AGAGUUUGAUCCUGGCUUAGGAUGAACGCUAGCUACAGGCUUAACACAUGCAAGUCGAGGGGCAGCAUUGGAGUAGCAAUACUCAGAUGGCGACCGGCGCACGGGUGAGUAACACGUAUCCAACCUGCCGCUUACUCGGGGAUAGCCCUUCGAAAGAAAGAUUAAUACCCGAUGGUAUAAAGAGUUCGCAUGUUCUCUUUAUUAAAGAAUUUCGGUAAGCGAUGGGGAUGCGUUCCAUUAGAUAGUUGGCGGGGUAACGGCCCACCAAGUCUACGAUGGAUAGGGGUUCUGAGAGGAAGGUCCCCCACAUUGGAACUGAGACACGGUCCAAACUCCUACGGGAGGCAGCAGUGAGGAAUAUUGGUCAAUGGACGAGAGUCUGAACCAGCCAAAAGUAGCGUGAAGGAUGACUGCCCUAUGGGUUGUAAACUUCUUUUAUAAGGGAAUAAAGUGAGGGACGUGUCCCUUUUUGUAUGUACCUUAUGAAUAAGGAUCGGCUAACUCCGUGCCAGCCGCCGC
rnacentral:rRNA from 1 species